rnacentral:tRNA from 1 species
GGUUGUAGCUCAGGGGUAGAGCACUCGCCUAACAUGUGCAAGUCCCUGGGUUCGAUCCUUAGCACCA